AAAGAGCGAGUAAAGUGCGUAAAAUAAAUAAAAUAAAGCGAGUGCGGAAAAUAAAUAAAGUAAAGCGAGUGCGGAAAAUAAAUAAAAAAAAGCGAGUGCGGAAAAUAAAUAAAGUAAAGCGAGUGCGGAAAAUAAAUAAAAUAAAAGCGAUGCGGGAAAUAAAUAAAAUAAAAGCGAUGCGGAAAAUAAAUAAAUAAAGCGAUAAAUAAGAACCUGCUCCAAACGGAGGGUUCGAUUCUGGUACAAAAAUAAACCUCUGACUUCUGAAGCUAAAGACAAUAGCAACUCGAAGUGACCCAACUCAAUCUCAG
rnacentral:lncRNA from 1 species